rnacentral:rRNA from 1 species
AUUGAACGCUGGCGGCAGGCCUAACACAUGCAAGUCGAGCGGAUGAGAGGAGCUUGCUUCUCGAUUCAGCGGCGGACGGGUGAGUAAUGCCUAGGAAUCUGCCUGGUAGUGGGGGACAACGUUUCGAAAGGAACGCUAAUACCGCAUACGUCCUACGGGAGAAAGCAGGGGACCUUCGGGCCUUGCGCUAUCAGAUGAGCCUAGGUUGGAUUAGCUAGUUGGUGAGGUAAUGGCUCACCAAGGCGACGAUCCGUAACUGGUCUGAGAGGAUGAUCAGUCACACUGGAACUGAGACACGGUCCAGACUCCUACGGGAGGCAGCAGUGGGGAAUAUUGGACAAUGGGCGAAAGCCUGAUCCAGCCAUGCCGCGUGUGUGAAGAAGGUCUUCGGAUUGUAAAGCACUUUAAGUUGGGAGGAAGGGUUGUAGAUUAAUACUCUGCAAUUUCGACGUUACCGACAGAAUAAGCACCGGCUAACUCUGUGCCAGCAGCCGCCGUAAGAC